rnacentral:rRNA from 1 species
GAACAACCCGGAGCACCGGCCAAGGUCCCCAAGUGUGCACUAAGUUGAGCUAAGGGGGUCCGACUGCAGAGACAGCCAGGAUGUUAGCUUGGAAGCAGCUACACAUUUAAAGAGUGCGUAACAGCCCACUGGUCGAGCGGGGCGGGCACCGAUAAUAAACGGGCAUCAAGUGUACCACCGAAGCCGUGCGGUCGUAUUUAG